rnacentral:rRNA from 1 species
CAGUCGCCACGGUAAAACGUAGGGGGCGAGCGUUGUCCGAAGUUACUGGGCGUAAAGAGCGCGUAGGCUGGUCUUUAAGUGAGUGGUGAAAGGUUCGGGCUCAACCCGGACACUGCCUUUCAUACUGGGGACCUUGAGUGUGGGAGAGGCGAGUGGAAUGGUCGGUGUAGCGGUGAAAUGCGUAGAUAUCGAUCGGAACACCCAUGGCGAAGGCAGCUCGCUGGCCUAACACUGACGCUGAGGCGCGAAAGCGUGGGGAGCAAACAGGAUUAGAGACCCCCGUAGUCCCUGUCUCUUAUAC